CACAGUAGCCAUACAGCGUGGAACGUGCGCGAAAUCGAAACGAAGCUCCUCGCUCGGACCGAUCGAUUUAAGGGGACUGUCGAAUGGAGACCGUUGACAAGUAACUUAAGCAUUGGCCGAGAAGAUGGGCUGCAGCCACGGUACCGUCGCUAACCGCCUCAAGUCUCUUGGACUUACACAAAACCUUGAAGCAAAGAGUGAAAUUUGUCAUUGUUCGCCACCUAAAAAGGCGUACAAAACGUAUCUGGCUUAGCUGAACGAAAUCGACAAGUUUCCCCAAAUAGCCUGCAUAAUGCUUAACGACACCAACGUACGUAAAGCGAAACUGUUGCGUUCUUCCAGACCGAUUGUUUCGUCAGUGCCCAUUUGCAAGACGCGCUGGAAUGUAGAAGACCUUCGAUAGUCGCGAUAGAUAUAAAACUGGGAGCAGCACAAAGGCUCCGUUAAUGCGAC